AGCUAAAAAUUUAGCCUUACUCCACAAUUAUACUCAUUCUAUUUUACUUACACAAAAUAAAACAUUCUUUAAACUUAGUAAAGGAGAUAAAAAAGUUUUUUAGAGCCAUAAUACAAGUACCGCAAGGGAAAAAUGAAAUAAAAAUGAAAUAAAAUUCAAGCAUAAUAUAGUAGAGAUUUAUCCUCGUACCUUUUGCAUCAUGAUUCAACUAGUUUAAUUACGCAAAAAGAAUUUAAGUUUAACUUCCCGAAACUAAGUGAGCUACUUUAGGGCAGCUAAAUGAGCCAACCCGUCUCUGUUGCAAAAGAGUGGGACGACCCUUAAGUAGAGGUGAUAAGCCUAACGAACUUAGUGAUAGCUGGUUAUUCAGGAAAAGAAUUUUAGUUCAACUUAAAAUUACAUAAAUAAAAUAAAAUAAAAUUUUAAUUUUAAAGCAAUUCAAAUAAGGUACAGCCUAUUUGAAAUAGAACACAAUCUAAACUACAGGGUAAACAUAAAAAUUAGUGUAAUAAAGUAGGCCUAAAAGCAGCCAACUUUAAAACAGCGUCAAAGCUUAUUUUUAUAAUUUUUUAAUACCAUUAUCCAUAAUGAACCCUUUACUUCCACUGAAUAUUUCUAUAAAAUUAUAGAAUUUUUUAUGUUGAAACUAGUAACAAGAAGUUAAACUUCUCCUAAAUAUAAGUAUAAGUCGACUAGGAUAGACCAUCGACAAUUAACGCUAAAAUUAAAUGUAUUAACAUCACAAGAAAAAUUUACAUCACCCUACGUUAAUCUUACACCAGAACAUUUAAGGAAAGAUUAAAAAAAAAGGAAGGAACUCGGCAAACAUUAACCCCGCCUGUUUACCAAAAACAUCGCCUUCUGAUAAAUUAUAGAAGGUCCAGCCUGCCCAGUGAAUUAAUUCAACGGCCGCGGUAUCCUAACCGUGCGAAGGUAGCGUAAUCACUUGUUCUUUAAAUGAGGACUAGUAUGAAUGGCACCACGAAGGUUAUACUGUCUCCCUUUUUUAAUCAGUUAAACUAAUCUCCACGUGAAGAAGCGUGAAUAAAUAUAUAAGACGAGAAGACCCUAUGGAGCUUAAAAUUACGCAACAAUUGCUAUUAAUCUCAAAUUUUAUGAAUAAUUUUUUACUAAACACCAUGAUUGCUAAUUUUUGGUUGGGGUGACCGCGGAGUAAAAAUUAACCUCCACAAUGAAAGAACCAAUAUUCUAAACUAAGAGCUACAACUCAAAGUAUUAAUAUUUUAACAUUCCUUGAUCCAAUCAUUUGAUCAACGAACAAAGUUACCCUAGGGAUAACAGCGCAAUCUACUUUGAGAGCUCCUAUCGACAAGUAGGUUUACGACCUCGAUGUUGGAUCAGGGUAUCCUAGUGGUGCA
rnacentral:rRNA from 1 species